rnacentral:rRNA from 1 species
AUGCUUGAGACUUGUUGGAGUAUCGAGAUUCAUGGUAGAGAUGUGUAUACUCAUGAGGUUUUUGCUGAAUUUCAACGUCAGGUGGUGGCUGCAAGGGAUUAUUGUCAUGUUAAAUCAAUCGUGCAGGUUGGUGAGGUCCGGACCAUUGGUAUUAGCAGCAAGAGUGGCAAGGUUAGAGUAGUUAAUUUCAACACUAGUACCAAGGCAACACACUGUUCUUGUAGGAUGUUCGAAUCACUGGGUAUCAUCUGCCGUCACAUCAUUGUUGUCCUAAAGAAUGAGGGGUGUAAUGAAAUUCCUAGUCAAUAUGUGUUGCAUAGGUGGACUAAAAUGGUUGCACGUCAGCUUUCCUAUGAUGCCAACGGACAUGAGCUAGAAGGCCCAUCUACAUGUCUUUCACCUACCAUAAAAAAGUUGUACUCGGAAACAUGUUCAAAAUUCAGCUUGGCACUUCAUGUAGCGAAACAUUGUGAGGACAAAAUGAGAUAUUUUCACAAGGUUGUUGCUGAUGCCUUCACGCAAUUGGGACAGAUGGGUGCCAUUAGUGAGCAAAGUAAAGUUCAAGAAUUUGAAUCCUUCGUUGGAACAUCAUUCCCAAGUGUGAUCAAUAUUCAUCCACCAGAUGUAGCGAACACAAAAGGGACUGGUAAGAGAUUGAAAAGGGGCUCAGAACAGACUGUGAACCAAAAGAAAAAGAGGGCAAAUAGCAUCCAAAAGGUCCCAGAUAAGUAG